rnacentral:rRNA from 1 species
UGGGGAAUAUUGCACAAUGGGCGCAAGCCUGAUGCAGCCAUGCCGCGUGUAUGAAGAAGGCCUUCGGGUUGUAAAGUACUUUCAGCGGGGAGGAAGGUGUUGUGGUUAAUAACCGCAGCAAUUGACGUUACCCGCAGAAGAAGCACCGGCUAACUCCGUGCCAGCAGCCGCGGUAAUACGGAGGGUGCAAGCGUUAAUCGGAAUUACUGGGCGUAAAGCGCACGCAGGCGGUCUGUCAAGUCGGAUGUGAAAUCCCCGGGCUCAACCUGGGAACUGCAUUCGAAACUGGCAGGCUAGAGUCUUGUAGAGGGGGGUAGAAUUCCAGGUGUAGCGGUGAAAUGCGUAGAGAUCUGGAGGAAUACCGGUGGCGAAGGCGGCCCCCUGGACAAAGACUGACGCUCAGGUGCGAAAGCGUGGGGAGCAAACAGGAUUAGAUACCCCGGUAGUCCACGCCGUAAACGAUGUCGACUUGGAGGUUGUGCCCUUGAGGCGUGGCUUCCGGAGCUAACGCGUUAAGUCGACCGCCUGGGGAGUACGGCCGCAAGGUUA